AUUGAACGCUGGCGGCAGGCCUAACACAUGCAAGUCGAACGGUAACAGGAAACAGCUUGCUGUUUCGCUGACGAGUGGCGGACGGGUGAGUAAUGUCUGGGAAACUGCCUGAUGGAGGGGGAUAACUACUGGAAACGGUAGCUAAUACCGCAUAACGUCGCAAGACCAAAGAGGGGGACCUUCGGGCCUCUUGCCAUCGGAUGUGCCCAGAUGGGAUUAGCUAAUAGGUGGGGUAACGGCUCACCUAGGCGACGAUCCCUAGCUGGUCUGAGAGGAUGACCAGCCACACUGGAACUGAGACACGGUCCAGACUCCUACGGGAGGCAGCAGUGGGGAAUAUUGCACAAUGGGCGCAAGCCUGAUGCAGCCAUGCCGCGUGUAUGAAGAAGGCCUUCGGGUUGUAAAGUACUUUCAGCGGGGAGGAAGGGAGUAAAGUUAAUACCUUUGCUCAUUGACGUUACCCGCAGAAGAAGCACCGGCUAACUCCGUG
rnacentral:rRNA from 1 species